rnacentral:rRNA from 1 species
CCUACGGUGAGCUGCAGUGGGGAAUAUUGCGCCAUGGGCGAAAGCCUGACGCAGCGACGCCGCGUGAGGGAGGAAGGUCUUCGGAUCGUAAACCUCUGUCAGCAGGGAAGAACGGUCACUGUGCUAAUCAGCAGUGAAUUGACGGUACCUGCAAAGGAAGCACCGGCGAACUCCGUGCCAGCAGCGGCGGUAAUACGGAGGGUGCGAGCGUUAAUCGGAAUUACUGGGCGUAAAGCGCUCGUAGGCGGUAUGUCAAGUCAAGGGUGAAAUCCCCGCGCUCAACGUGGGAACUGCCUUUGAAACUGGCAAACUGGAGUGUGUGAGAGGAUAGUGGAAUUCCAGGUGUAGGAGUGAAAUCCGGAGAUAUCUGGAGGAACAUCAGUGGCGAAGGCGACUAUCUGGCACAUAACUGACGCUGAGGAGCGAAAGCGUGGGUAGCAAACAGGAUUAGAUACCCGAGUAGUC